GACGAACGCUGGCGGCGUGCUUAACACAUGCAAGUCGAGCGGAAAGGCCUCUUCGGGGGUACUCGAGCGGCGAACGGGUGAGUAACACGUGAGUAAUCUGCCCCCUACUUUGGGAUAACUACCGGAAACGGUGGCUAAUACCGGAUACGACAGCUCCACGCAUGUGGUGGUUGUGGAAAGUUUUUUCGGUGGGGGAUGUGCUCGCGGCCUAUCAGCUUGUUGGUGGGGUAAUGGCCUACCAAGGCUUCGACGGGUAGCCGGCCUGAGAGGGUGACCGGCCACACUGGGACUGAGACACGGCCCAGACUCCUACGGGAGGCAGCAGUGGGGAAUAUUGGACAAUGGGCGGAAGCCUGAUCCAGCAACGCCGCGUGAGGGAUGACGGCCUUCGGGUUGUAAACCUCUUUCAGUACCGACGAAGCGCCGGUAAUGGUGGUGACGGUAGGUACAGAAGAAGCACCGGCCAACUACGUGCCAGCCGCCGCCGUAAGAC
rnacentral:rRNA from 1 species